UACCGCGACAAGAACUGUCAAAGUGAACUUGUGAAAUUGUCGGCCGUUGAAAACAAGAGUUUAUUUUAUUUAUUUUACAAUGGAUAACCGUUUGUACGAAUCUAAGUUACCAAACCAUAAAAUAUUUAAAGAUCUAAAGGAGUGUAUGAGUGAAAAUCCUAGUAGAAAGUUGCGUAAUUUGAUCGAAUUGAAGGAUGAUGUGUUUUAUGUUUGGAACACGAAAGAAAAUUGUUUAUUGAGUUUGAAUUUGAAGCAUUUGGAAGAACAUGGAGAUGAGACGCCGUAUCAGAAACUACAUUUCCUAUUCCCACCUGCGUUCGAGGUGGAGAGGAUCAUGAGCAGUGGCUGUGGAAGUCGUAUCUGCGUCUGGGGAUCCCGAGGUGUCACCAUUGCUGAACUGCCAUCGAGGUGGGGCCGAGGUGGACUCUUCGAUUCCGGCAACCAGACUGUACUGUGCAAGAGUUACUCCUUGGACGAAAGAUUCCUGUACUGCCAGGGUGAGGUACGCCGUGUCCAUUGGCACCCUGCGUCACUAUCACACGUGUUCGUAUUGGGAUCGGAUAACACUAUCAGACUCUACAACAUAGCCCUGAAAAAAGGUCCCAAAUUAGUCCAAAGUUUCACCAUUGGCAUCAAACCAUCAAGCCAGUUAGCUGGUAGGAACAUACUGGACAGUCUUGGAGACACUGCGGUGGACUUCACUCCUAUACCUGAUAGCGAAACACUACUGAUUCUGAGGGGGAAUGGAGACGUCUAUAUGAUGCAGUGUGAAUUGGAACGUAAGAGUCCCCUACAACCGAAAUUGUCGGGUCCGCUCGCGAUGUAUCCGCCGGCAGAUGACAACUAUGGCUCCGAGUCGUGCUCCAUCAUCGCUCUGGGAGGAGGAGACACCCCUCCCCUUGUGGUAGUUGCCACCUGCUCAGCUGCCUUGUACCAUUGUCUGCUGUUGCCUAAUCCUUCGGAGAAAGAAGACGGCGACACUCACGCCCUCUACGUGGUGGAAGCAGUGGAAUUGAACGUCAACCUGAGCCCUGAUGAUGAACAGUCCUACUCAUACCCUGUCGACUUGUAUCCUUGCACAAACAACACGUACGCGUGCGUCCACGCGGGCGGGGUGCACGCCAUCACACUGCCCAUACUGGGACAUCUCGUCGACUACGCACUGGCUGAUGACACGGAGAGCGAGUGCGUGCUGGGCGCGCUGUGCGGGCGCGGCGCGGGCGCGCGGCAUGUGCUGCAGGGCGCGGGCGCGGCCGGCCUGGCGCUCACUGCGCCGCCGCUGCAGCGGGUACUGCUACUCGUCGAGCCCGCCACCUUACUGCCCAGAACAUUGGAACCCUUCGAUCUUGAAGAACAGCUGUACAAAGAGUUGCAGCUCAAGAACCCGACACUGGAACAGGAUGACAUCAACAAUAUACUGAAAGAGAGACAGAAGCUGUCGUUCACAUCCAUCAUCCAAGAGAUCCUCACGAGGGAUGUGUCCCAGCCCAUCCUUCAGAUCAGUAAGAAAGAGGAGCCCAGUCCGAAACAAUGCCUAGAAUUCGUAAGUCAGGCGACUGUAAAGCUCCGCGGCGAGUACAUGUCCCGCCAGCAGAGAGCGUGCGACGCCAUCGCCCGCAAGCUGCAAGCGUUGCGCUCGCUCAGCGACCAGCACCGGGACUGGCUGCGGGACUUACAGAAGGAAAUAGAUGAAGUACAGCUUCAGUCGACGGUCCUCAAGGAAAAGUGCAUGUUGGCUGAGAAACAUCAGGAUGAUCUGAAAUACAGAUGCAGCGCCGUUGUCCGCGCGGGCCGUGCGGCGGCCGGGCCGUGUCCGGCCGAGCGCGCGCUGCUCGCGGAGCUGCAGCAACACGCGCGCCGCGGGGACACGCUGCGGGGACACGUCGCGCAACUCAAGGCACACGCCGCCUACAGGGCGCAGGAGGUACUUCUAUAUCUAUAAUUAUCACGCGCGCCGCGGGGACACGCUGCGGGGACACGUCGCGCAACUCAAGGCACACGCCGCCUACAGGGCGCAGGAGGUACUUCUAUAUCUAUAAUUAUCACGCGCGCCGCGGGGACACGCUGCGGGGACACGUCGCGCAACUCAAGGCACACGCCGCCUACAGGGCGCAGGAGGUACUUCUAUAUCUAUAAUUAUCACGCGCGCCGCGGGGACACGCUGCGGGGACACGUCGCGCAACUCAAGGCACACGCCGCCUACAGGGCGCAGGAGGUACUUCUAUAUCUAUAAUUAUCACGCGCGCCGCGGGGACACGCUGCGGGGACACGUCGCGCAACUCAAGGCACACGCCGCCUACAGGGCGCAGGAGGUACUUCUAUAUCUAUAAUUAUCACGCGCGCCGCGGGGACACGCUGCGGGGACACGUCGCGCAACUCAAGGCACACGCCGCCUACAGGGCGCAGGAGGUACUUCUAUAUCUAUAAUUAUCACGCGCGCCGCGGGGACACGCUGCGGGGACACGUCGCGCAACUCAAGGCACACGCCGCCUACAGGGCGCAGGAGGUACUUCUAUAUCUAUAAUUAUCACGCGCGCCGCGGGGACACGCUGCGGGGACACGUCGCGCAACUCAAGGCACACGCCGCCUACAGGGCGCAGGAGGUACUUCUAUAUCUAUAAUUAUCACGCGCGCCGCGGGGACACGCUGCGGGGACACGUCGCGCAACUCAAGGCACACGCCGCCUACAGGGCGCAGGAGGUACUUCUAUAUCUAUAAUUAUCACGCGCGCCGCGGGGACACGCUGCGGGGACACGUCGCGCAACUCAAGGCACACGCCGCCUACAGGGCGCAGGAGGUACUUCUAUAUCUAUAAUUAUCACGCGCGCCGCGGGGACACGCUGCGGGGACACGUCGCGCAACUCAAGGCACACGCCGCCUACAGGGCGCAGGAGAUGGAGAAAUGGGAGUCGGAGUAUAAGAAGAAGGACAUAGCUCUGGGUCAAUCACACAGCAAUACCAUCUCCAGUAUUCUACAA